CUAAGCCGAUUGCCAGACGGCGUUCUGCACGCAGCCCGGGAGCCGAGUUUUACAAUCCCAGUUGGUUCACUCACCGCACUCUUACAGUAAAUCAGUCUCCUGUCUUGGGCUUUUGCUCAUAACAGGAGUUGGGUUUGGUGGUUACCGCACCGGGGCACAGAUGACAGGGAAGCAGGAGCUAGGCAUCCUUCCAGACCUAAAGUCAGAAUCAGAAAAGCAGCGGUAGAAGGGAAACCCGCUAGCAGGUCAUCUGGGGGAAAAAAUUCCUAAAUUAAGUUUAUUAACUACGCAGACAUAGUAUUGAGGAGCCCAGUUCGUCCAGGAACUCUGGGAGGCGCCGUUAGAUUUAUGUCCAAAGUGAGGGCUUAUUCUUGGCUUUGGGCUCAGGGUUCACUCCUGGGCGUUUUGGGGGAUCAUAUGGGAUGCUGAAGAUCGAACCAUGGCGUGCAAGGCAAGCGCUCUAUCUGCUGCACUAUCUCUCCAGCCCUUCCAGCAGUAUGAAUGAGGUGGCGAAUGGCCACUACCAGAAGACUGGUCACACCUUCUACAGCCCUGGCCUCCAUGCACAUGAAAGUGCUUAAUCCAAUCAGCAGCUGAGCAACACUCUGCUUCAUCCAAUCAGCAGCUGGGCAACCCUAUUUCAUCCAAUCAGCAUCUGGUCAACCCUACUUUAUCCAGUCAGCAGCUAGCAACACUCUGCUUCAUCCAGUCAGCAGCUGGGCAACACUCUUUCAUCCAGUCAGCAACUGGGCAACCAUGUUUCAUCCAAUCAGCAUCUGGUCAACCCUACUUCAUCCAAUCAGCAGCUAGCAACACUGCUUCAUCCAAUCAACAGCAGGGUAACUGAUUGCAUCAUCCAACUAGCUUUAUCCAACUAGCAGCUAAACCACGCUCUGCAGUUUCGUCUCUAUGGCGUUUGCCUUCUCUCUACCAGGCCUAAGUCACCUUUACCUGGACUCCCUCAGGGACCUCAGCACAGUUGCCAACAUGCCAUCUCUGCAGCCAGCUUGCUCCGAGGUCCAGGUAUCCUAGACCUUGUCAUACCCUUCCACAAGCAAGACCACGAGGCCCCACACAGGGCUCAGGUGACUGGUGGCACUUCUUAGCUGGUGUUUGUCAGAGAAGGGUUCCCGACCCCGCCAGGAGGGGGCCCUGAGCACUGCCGGUCGAGCAGCUCAGCACAGUUACUGGCGAUGUGGCACCUCGGACUCUGCCUGCAAAAUCGGAUUAUUUCAACAGGGUUUCCUGGGUCUGUCUCAGAGGACAAAAGUGGGAAGAUCAUUACUUGCAAAGUCGGUUCCACAUCCCGGGAAGGACGCUCAAAUCCCGGCUCUCACAGAGAUACUGUAGGGGCCAGAAAACAUCCACGGUGCCGUCCCCUGCGGCUCUGCCCACCUCUCGCACCCUCAGCCCCACGCCCCUGGCUUCUUCACAGAGGGUGGCCCAGCUCUGUGCCUGGUGGGCGCUGUGGACACCCGCUCACACAGACCGAGACGCCUCCUACCCACGCCCGGGAACCCGCCAGAGGGACCUCGUGGAAAAUGCCCGGCAGCGUGUGGCAAAGCCUCGCACCGCCGGCAACCCUCGGAGCCUCGAGCGGCAACGUCGUGGCCGAGAUGCUGCGGGGAAACCUUCAGUUCGACUUGAGGCCUCGGAUCCAUGAGGCAGUCCACGCCUGGGACCCUGCAUGCGGGGCACAAAGGGGACCGAGGGAGUUUAAUGGAUGAUGGAAUAAAAACUUGGGUGACACAUAUGGAGGAGUCAGGAGCGUUGGCAGGUGGGCAGUGCCCCAAGACCUUCAGUGGCCCAGCUCCUGGGUCCACAAGAUGCCACCGUGUGCCCCGGCCGUGGGAGAAUGGGUCCCCGUGAGUGACAUCUGGGGUCCUGUCGGGAUGGUCUUACUAGCUGGGGUCUGCCAGGCAGCUGUGCCAGGGAUCACGUGUCCCUCCCCCACUGGGACAUCCAGCCAUAGGACAGUGGGGAGGGCGCUCACCGUGCAGGUGGCCCAGGUUCGAGCCUCGGCACCCUGUAGGGUCCACAGAGCACCGCUGGAAGUGAUCCCUGAGCAGAGCCCAGAGUCAGCCCUGAGCAUCCCCGGGUGCGACCCAAAAACAAAAUCCAAAAAGACUUCCUUAGACACGGAGGCUGGAGCCAUAGGACAGUAGGCCGGCUGGGGUUCGAUCCCCAGUACCCCAUAGGGACCCCCACACCCAGCAGGACUAAGCCCUGAGCAUCGUUGGGUGUGAUGCUCAAAAACAGAAGAAGUGAGAACCUGAAUGCAUGUUCCCAGUGCCCGAGGGCAGCGUCAGGGCCAUCGAUUCUUUCUUCCCUGGAGACCUUCGGCCACGCCUGCACUGAGCUUCGUCCUCUGGGUAAGGAGCCCCGUUCCGAGGCCCCGCACCCCGCACCCCGACCCUGCGGAGCUCGAGGAUCUUGGGGGCUUGUGGGGUGGUCAGAGGCCAAGUCCCGUCUGCUUGAGCCUGGGGCCACAACCACCCGUGAGAGCAGGGCUGCCCCCCAACCUUCUCGAUCCUUCCACGCCCAGCCGGGGCCUGACGCUCUCCUCUGGGUGCCUGUGGCUGCCCGCGCCUUCCGGCAACCCCCCUGAAGACCUGUCAUGGCUCCUUCCUGGUGCCCCAACCACACACACCCCUUUCUCCAAGGGUCAUCUGUGGAGUCCAUGUCCCAGCCUCGUCGUCCAUGUCACCAUGUCCUGAUUGCUGUGACCCCCUGCCCCGUGGUCCUUCGUCCCCCUGUGUCUAUGCAUUAGCCAGAUGGUGCCCCCCAGCCCCCGCACCCCGACCCUGCGGAGCCACUGCGUCAGUCCCUGGGAGGGCGUCCGUGACAUCUGUCACUAAAAGCAGUGUCAUUUGACCUGGUUCUUUGGAAUCUGGAGUUCUUCCUUUAAACACUGUGUUCUUGCUUUCCAGACAACUUCCUGACACAGGCCCCCUCACUUCUGACGGGCCCCCCUCACUUCCUGCCAUGGAUCCCCCACUUCCUGACACGCCCCCCACUUCCUGACAUGGGCUCCCCACUUUCAGAUAAUGGCCCCCACUUCCUAACAAGGCCCCCCUCACUUCCUAACAACACCCCCCUCGUUUUCUGGCAGGGUCCCCCCACUUCUUAUUUUGUCUUUUUGGGUCACCUGUGACGCUCAGGGCUUCCUCCUGGCUCUGAACUCAGGAGUUACUCCUGUAUGUGCUCAAGGGACCAUAUAAGAUGCCAGGGAUCGAACCCAGGUUGGCCAUAUGCAAGGCAGACACCUUAUCCACUGUACUAGCACUCCGGGCCCCCCUCACCUACUGACAUGGCCCCUCACCUCCUGACACAGCCCCUCAUUUCCUGAGCGUAUACCCGAGUGGGGGUAUUUUUCCUGGGGGUAAAUUUCUGUUUUCAUGAAGUUCCUUUUACCUGGGGGGCACAGGGGAGUCCAACCCACUUGUCUUCACU